CCAAAGCAUUAACUCCUACCCACUAC
rnacentral:piRNA from 1 species